rnacentral:lncRNA from 1 species
UGGAAAUUAGACUAUAUUGCCGCAAUGCUAAGAUUUUGCCUAGGAUAACGAGUUCUUGCCCUAGUAGAUAAGAAUGUUCACUCAAAAAUGAAUUAUCAAAUUAUUACUUUAGAAUCUGAAGCAUCAGCUGGGUUCAGGGCGGGUUAAGGGGCUGAGGAUCCGACAAUUGGUUUGCUUCCCUCUAUAGAGGUUGGCGCGUCAAGAAGAGGUAUAUAGGUGAAGCAGAGGUCUUGCAGUUCCAUUGUCUUUCUGAUCGACAGUAAUCUGUGUUUGCGACUAGAGAAUCAGAGGUGUCACUUGCUAACGGAGCUCUUUCCACUGUAUUGUUUCAAGGAGAGGUCGGGGAAGA